AUGUUGGCCACGCUGGCCUCCAACUCUUGACCUCAGGAAACCAAAAUCAUGGUAUUCUGAAGACCAGAGAUAUGAAUCUCCUUCAUUUGGCAUCCCACCGGCCCCGAUCUGUUUCACUGCUAAUGUUCUGCUGCCAAAACUAUACAAGCUGCCUCACCCCUAGGCCCAGGGACUAUCACAGAAGAGAGCCAAUAAAACUUUUCUUUUGAGUGAUUUGCAGCUUUUAACAAACUGAACCUGCUUAUUUCUGUGAACCAACCAGUGAUCUCUUAUGGCUGUUCAAAAGUAACAAGAGAGAUAUCACCUUUUGUCAUAACUCAAGUCUUAUGAAUGGCCCUCACCAUAAUGAUGCUUUUUGACUGAGCUCUUCUCUAACCUGAAUGCAAGAGGUUAGGCAUGAAUAUCAUCCCCCCUGUUCAGCCUGAAGAAGUUACAGAAGAUGAAUCUUCCACUCUCUACAGCCCUUAGGAUUAAGGGUUCUCUUACUGAAUGUAUUCUUAAACUGAACACUUAUUAAUCUUCCAGAUAUCACCUUUUGUCAUAACUCAAGACUUAUGAAUGGCCCUCACCAUAAUGAUGCUUUUUGACUGAGCUCUUCUCUAACCUGAAUGCAAGAGGUUAGGCAUGAAUAUCAUCCCCCCUGUUCAGCCUGAAGAAGUUACAGAAGAUGAAUCUUCCUCUCUCUACAGCCCUUAGGAUUAAGGGUUCUCUUACUGAAUGUAUUCUUAAACUGAACACUUAUUAAUCUUCCAGAUAUCACCUUUUGUCAUAACUCAAGACUUAUGAAUGGCCCUCACCAUAAUGAUGCUUUUUGACUGAGCUCUUCUCUAACCUGAAUGCAAGAGGUUAGGCAUGAAUAUCAUCCCCCCUGUUCAGCCUGAAGAAGUUACAGAAGAUGAAUCUUCCUCUCUCUACAGCCCUUAGGAUUAAGGGUUCUCUUAUAAAAGGGAGGGGGUAAAUAUGUCAGAGGCAUUUGAACCAGAGAAACUCCAUCUUGAAUAGUCCCUGUGUAAAAUAAGACUGAGACCUACUGGGAUGCAUUCCCAGGAGGUUAGGCAUUCUAAUUCACAGGAUGAGAUAAGAAGUCUCCACAAGAUACAGAUUAUAAAGAUUUGGCUGAUAAAACUGUUUGUGAUAAAGAAGCUGGCCAAAACACACCAAAACCAAGAUGCCAACAAAAGUGUCCUCUGGUUGUCCUCACUGCUCAUUAUAUGCUAAUUAUAAUGCAUUAGCAUGUUAAAAGACACUCCCACCAGUGCAAUGACAAUGUACAAAUGCCUUGGCAACAUCAAGAAGUUACCCUAUAUGGUUUAAAAAUGGUAGGAACCCUCAGUUCUGGGAAUUGCCCACCCCUUUUCUGGAAAACUCAUGAAUAAUCCACCCCUUAUUUAGCAUAUAAUCAAGAAAUAACUGGAAGUAUCCUUAGUGAAGCAGGCCAAGCCACUACUCUUCCUAUGGAGUAGACAUUCUUUCAUUAGUUAACUUUAUUAAUAAACUUGCUUUCACUUUA
rnacentral:lncRNA from 1 species